AGAACGAACGCUGGCGGCAUGCCUAAUACAUGCAAGUCGAACGAACUCUUCGGAGUUAGUGGCGCACGGGUGCGUAACGCGUGGGAAUCUGCCCCUUGGUUCGGAAUAACAGUUGGAAACGACUGCUAAUACCGGAUGAUGACGAAAGUCCAAAGAUUUAUCGCCAAGGGAUGAGCCCGCGUAGGAUUAGCUAGUUGGUGAGGUAAAGGCUCACCAAGGCAACGAUCCUUAGCUGGUCUGAGAGGAUGAUCAGCCACACUGGGACUGAGACACGGCCCAGACUCCUACGGGAGGCAGCAGUAGGGAAUAUUGGACAAUGGGCGAAAGCCUGAUCCAGCAAUGCCGCGUGAGUGAUGAAGGCCUUAGGUUGUAAAGCUCUUUUACCCGAGAUGAUAAUGACAUAGUCGGAGAAAUAAGACCCCGGCUAACUCCGUGCCAGCAGCCGC
rnacentral:rRNA from 1 species